rnacentral:rRNA from 1 species
GACGAACGCUGGCGGCGUGCCUAACACAUGCAAGUCGAGCGAUGAAAUCCCUUCGGGGAUGGAUUAGCGGCGGACGGGUGAGUAACACGUGGGCAACCUACCUCAAAGUGGGGGAUAGCCUCCCGAAAGGGAGAUUAAUACCGCAUAACAUUAGUUUUGCACAUGAAGAACUAUUUAAAGGAGUAAUCCGUUUUGAGGUGGGCCCGCGGCGCAUUAGCUAGUUGGUGAGGUAAUGGCUCACCGAGGCGACAAUGCGUAGCCGACCUGAGAGGGUGAUCGGCCACAUUGGAACUGAGACACGGUCCAGACUCCUACGGGAGGCAGCAGUGGGGAAUAUUGCACAAUGGGGGAAACCCUGAUGCAGCAACGCCGCGUGAGUGAUGAAGGUCUUCGGAUUGUAAAGCUCUGUCUUUUGGGACGAUAAUGACGGUACCAAAGGAGGAAGCCACGGCUAACUACGUGCCAGCCGCCGCCGUAAUAC